CAUAUCUGGUUGUUUAAACAUAUCAGCCCUUCAAGCUGAAGUAGCAGAAUAUCUGCAGAUAUGA
rnacentral:tRNA from 1 species